rnacentral:rRNA from 1 species
AGAGUUUGAUCCUGGCUCAGGACGAACGCUGGCGGCGUGCCUAAUACAUGCAAGUCGAGCGGACCGACGGGAGCUUGCUCCCUUAGGUCAGCGGCGGACGGGUGAGUAACACGUGGGUAACCUGCCUGUAAGACUGGGAUAACUUCGGGAAACCGGGGCUAAUACCGGAUGCUUGAUUGAACCGCAUGGUUCAAUCAUAAAAGGUGGCUUU